rnacentral:rRNA from 1 species
GGGGGAAGGUAGCUUGCUACCGGACCUAGCGGCGGACGGGUGAGUAAUGCUUAGGAAUCUGCCUAUUAGUGGGGGACAACAUCUCGAAAGGGAUGCUAAUACCGCAUACGUCCUACGGGAGAAAGCAGGGGAUCUUCGGACCUUGCGCUAAUAGAUGAGCCUAAGUCGGAUUAGCUAGUUGGUGGGGUAAAGGCCUACCAAGGCGACGAUCUGUAGCGGGUCUGAGAGGAUGAUCCGCCACACUGGGACUGAGACACGGCCCAGACUCCUACGGGAGGCAGCAGUGGGGAAUAUUGGACAAUGGGGGGAACCCUGAUCCAGCCAUGCCGCGUGUGUGAAGAAGGCCUUAUGGUUGUAAAGCACUUUAAGCGAGGAGGAGGCUACUUUAGUUAAUACCUAGAGAUAGUGGACGUUACUCGCAGAAUAAGCACCGGCUAACUCUGUGCCAGCACCGCCGGGUAAUAAA